rnacentral:rRNA from 1 species
UACGAAGGGGGCUAGCGUUGCUCGGAAUUACUGGGCGUAAAGGGCGCGUAGGCGGCACUGUUAGUCAGGCGUGAAAGUCCUGGGCUCAACCUGGGAACUGCGCUUGAUACGGCAGAGCUAGAGGAUGGAAGAGGCUCGCGGAAUUCCCAGUGUAGAGGUGAAAUUCGUAGAUAUUGGGAAGAACACCGGUGGCGAAGGCGGCGAGCUGGUCCAUUAACUGACGCUGAGGAGCGAAAGCAUGGGGAGCGAACAGG